rnacentral:rRNA from 1 species
GGAGUUAGCCGGUGCUUCUUCUGCGAGUAACGUCACAGAUGUAAGGUAUUAACUUACACCCUUUCCUCCUCGCUGAAAGUGCUUUACAACCCGAAGGCCUUCUUCACACACGCGGCAUGGCUGCAUCAGGGUUUCCCCCAUUGUGCAAUAUUCCCCACUGCUGCCUCCCGUAGGAGUCUGGGCCGUGUCUCAGUCCCAGUGUGGCUGAUCAUCCUCUCAGACCAGCUAGGGAUCGUCGCCUAGGUGAGCCUUUACCUCACCUACUAGCUAAUCCCACCUGGGCUUAUCCAUCAGCGCAAGGCCCGAAGGUCCCCUGCUUUCCCCCGUAGGGCGUAUGCGGUAUUAGCAGUCGUUUCCAACUGUUAUCCCCCACAAAUGGGCAAAUUCCCAGGCAUUACUCACCCGUCCGCCGCUCGUCAUCUUCAAAAGCAAGCUUUUGAAAUGUUACCGCUCGACUUGCAUGUGUUAGGCCUGCCGCCACGCGUUCAAUCUGAGCCACUAAUACAAACUACUCGA